rnacentral:rRNA from 1 species
UUUAAAGAGAGUUUGAUCCUGGCUCAGGACGAACGCUGGCGGCGUGCCUAAUACAUGCAAGUCGAACGAACGGAGGAAGAGCUUGCUCUUCCAAUGUUAGUGGCGGACGGGUGAGUAACACGUGGGCAACCUGCCUGUAAGUUGGGGAUAACUCCGGGAAACCGGGGCUAAUACCGAAUGAUAAGAUGUGGCGCAUGCCACGCCUUUGAAAGAUGGUUUCGGCUAUCGCUUACAGAUGGGCCCGCGGUGCAUUAGCUAGUUGGUAGGGUAAUGGCCUACCAAGGCAACGAUGCAUAGCCGACCUGAGAGGGUGAUCGGCCACACUGGGACUGAGACACGGCCCAGACUCCUACGGGAGGCAGCAGUAGGGAAUCUUCCGCAAUGGACGAAAGUCUGACGGAGCAACGCCGCGUGUAUGAAGAAGGUUUUCGGAUCGUAAAGUACUGUUGUUAGAGAAGAACAAGGAUAAGAGUAACUGCUUGUCCCUUGACGGUAUCUAACCAGAAAGCCACGGCUAACUACGUGCCAGCAGCCGCGGUAAUACGUAGGUGGCAAGCGUUGUCCGGAUUUAUUGGGCGUAAAGCGCGCGCAGGCGGUCUUUUAAGUCUGA